GGGGAUGUGGCGGAAUCGGUAGACGCGCAGCGUUCAGGACGCUGUGGGCAUUCGCUCGUGAGAGUUCGAGUCUCUCCAUCCCCA
rnacentral:tRNA from 1 species